UUUGCAAAUUCCAAAAAAAAUAAAAAAAAAUCUUCUCUGAAUAUCUCUUGAUUUCUUCUUGGAAUUAAAUAUUGUUUUACCUCCCUUUAAUUUCUUUUUGAAUUACAAAAUUUGAAGAUGAAUUCAGUGAGAUUGAUGAACCUUUCAUUUACAAUUAUUUGUUUCAUGUUUUUGGCACUUGUUGAGUUUAGUUUUGGACAAGGCAUUGCUCCUUCUUCUGCCCCUCCUCCUUUCAAUGACGGCACAUCGAUUGAUCAAGGGAUUGCUUAUGUUCUUCUACUUGUUGCCCUUGCUAUUACGUACUUGGUCCACUAAAUAUAUUUAUUGGAGUUUUUUUUUUGUUAUUAUUAUUUAAAUUGUUCAUUCAUAAUUUUAAUUCUUUAUAUAUUUUUCUCCUAUUAUUCAGAAUGGAGAGAUUUAAUUUUUUUUGUGAUUUAAUGAAAUAAAGAAAGGAUACUUCUUAUUUGUGAUACAAA